ACCAGACUCCUACGGGAGGCAGCAGUGGGGAAUAUUGCACAAUGGGGGAAACCCUGAUGCAGCAACGCCGCGUGAGUGAAGAAGUAUUUCGGUAUGUAAAGCUCUAUCAGCAGGGAAGAAAAUGACAGUACCUGACUAAGAAGCCCCGGCUAACUACGUGCCAGCAGCCGCGGUAAUACGUAGGGGGCAAGCGUUAUCCGGAUUUACUGGGUGUAAAGGGAGCGUAGACGGCUGCGCAAGUCAGAAGUGAAAGCCCGGGGCUCAACCGUUGAAUUGCAGUUGAAACUGGAGGCCUUGAGUGCACACAGGGAUGCCGGAAUUCAUGGUGUAGCGGUGAAAUGCUUAGAUAUCAUGAAGAACUCCGAUCGCGAAGGCAAGUGUCCGGGGUGCAACUGACGCUGAGGCUCGAAAGUGCGAGUAUCAAACAGGAUUAGAUACCCCAGUACAA
rnacentral:rRNA from 1 species